UAUACCAGAGCACAUGCGACACCUAGAUGCAUGAUUAAGACUGAUCUCCAAAAAGCCCAUGAUUCAGUUGAAUGGAUCUUCUUACAACAGACUAUGGAGGAUAUUGGCUUCCUAAGCAGAUUUACCAACUGGAUUAUGGAAUGUAUUAAGAUAGUGAGAUAUUCAGUACUGGUCAAUGGAGAGGCAACAGAACCCUUUGAUGCUGCUAGAGGACUUAGGCAAGGGGAUCCAAAUUUUCCCCUUUUUAUUUGCCUUAGUCAUGGAGUACUUGAGUAGAUCUUGCAAUGAACUAAAGAAAGACCCAGCUUUCCAGUUCCAUCCUAGAUGCAAACAGCUAGGAAUUACUCACAUGUGUUUUGCUCUAAGCAGAUCUUGUAAUGGACUAAAGAAAGACCCAGCAUUUCAGUUCCAUCCUAGAUGCAAAAAGCUAGGAUUUACUCACAUGUGUUUUGCUGAUGACCUGUUACUGUUUGCUAAAGGAGAGAUUGCAUCUAUCAGAGGCAUAUUCACAUGUUUCUCACAGUUCUCUGAAGCCUCUGGUCUGCAGGAAAACCUGAGCAAAAGCUCAGUAUAUUUUGGAGGUGUGUCACUGGUUAAUGCAGAAACAGAUUAUAGAUCACUUGGGUUUUGUUCAUGGGGAGCUUCCUUUCAAAUAUCUAGGUGUACCUCUUUCCACCAAGAAGAUUGCCUUGGUUCAAUGGCAGCCUUUUGUGGAGAGGAUUACUGCCAAGAUUACUUCUUGGACUGCCAAGAAAUUAUCUUACAGUGGAAGGAUUCAACUUGUCCAAUCUGUCCUAUUUGGCAUUCAAGCUUACUGGGCACAUAUAUUUAUUCUUCCUGCUAAAAUACUUAAGAUGAUUGAAGCUAUUUGCAGAAGUUUUGUCUGGUCUGGGAUAAAUUCCAUCACUAAGAAAGCCUAUGUCUCCUG
rnacentral:lncRNA from 1 species